UUUUUUUUCUUUGAACGAACUUUAUUGUUCCUGCGGCGCCGCGCGCGCGCGGGGAUGCGCUGAGGCCGCUCCGCCGUCGGCCCCGCUCCGCCCGCCCCGGCCCGGCCUCGGCAUGUCGGGCAGCCGCCCGCCGCCGCACCCCGCCGCGCCGCCCGCUGCCGCCACCGCCACCCCGGCCUCAUCCUCCUCUUCUUCUUCUUCUUCCUCCUCUUCCUCCUCCUCUUCUUCGGCGGCCAUGGCGCCGGGCUCGUCCUCCUCGGGCGGCGCGGCGGCGCGGCCUGUGCUGGUAGCGGCCGCCGUGUCGGGCUCGGGCGCGGGGCUGGCCCGUUUGGCGGCGGCGGCCCGGCCCGGUGGCGGCUCCGGCUCCUCCGGGGGAGGCGGCGGUAGCGGGGCGGGCGGCGGCAGCAGCAGGAAGAGGCCGCUGCUCACCCCGCUCUGCAACGGGCUCAUCAACUCCUACGAGGACAAGAGCAACGACUUCGUCUGUCCCAUCUGUUUUGAUAUGAUUGAAGAAGCCUACAUGACAAAAUGUGGACACAGUUUCUGCUAUAAAUGUAUUCACCAGAGCUUGGAGGACAAUAACAGAUGUCCCAAGUGCAACUAUGUUGUGGACAACAUAGAUCAUCUUUAUCCCAACUUCUUAGUCAAUGAACUUAUUCUCAAACAGAAGCAAAGAUCUGAGGAGAAAAGACUCAAACUGGACCAUUCAGUGAGUAGCACCAAUGGCCAUAGGUGGCAGAUAAUUCAAGACUUGUUGGGAACUGAUCAAGACAAUCUUGACUUGGCCAAUGUCAACCUGAUGCUGGAGCUGCUGGUGCAAAAGAAGAAGCAGUUGGAAGCAGAGUCCCACGCUGCCCAAUUGCAGAUCCUUAUGGAAUUUCUCAAAGUUGCCAGGAGAAACAAGCGAGAGCAAUUGGAGCAGAUCCAGAAGGAGCUAAGUGUUCUGGAAGAAGAUAUUAAACGAGUAGAGGAAAUGAGUGGCUUGUACUCCCCAGUCAGCGAGGACAGUACGGUGCCACAGUUCGAGGCUCCCUCACCUUCACACAGUAGUAUUAUUGACUCCACGGAGUACAGCCAGCCUCCAGGCUUCAGCAGCAGUUCUCAGACCAAAAAGCAGCCGUGGUAUAACAGCACGCUAGCCUCACGACGCAAGCGGCUCACAGCUCAUUUUGAGGACCUAGAGCAGUGCUAUUUUUCCACCAGGAUGACACGUGUCUCGGAUGACAGCAGAACCACAAGCCAGCUGGAUGAGUUUCAGGAGUGUCUAUCCAAGUUCACGCGCUACAAUUCUGUCCGACCCCUGGCAACGCUGUCUUAUGCUAGUGACCUCUACAACGGCUCCAGCAUAGUAUCCAGUAUUGAGUUCGACCGAGACUGUGACUACUUUGCCAUCGCUGGGGUGACAAAGAAGAUUAAAGUCUAUGAGUAUGGUACAGUCAUUCAGGACGCGGUGGAUAUUCACUACCCUGAGAAUGAAAUGACCUGUAAUUCCAAAAUCAGCUGUAUCAGCUGGAGUAGUUACCACAAGAACCUGUUAGCCAGCAGCGACUAUGAAGGCACUGUCAUCCUUUGGGAUGGAUUCACGGGACAAAGAUCCAAGGUCUACCAGGAACAUGAGAAAAGGUGCUGGAGUGUUGACUUUAACUUGAUGGACCCAAAGCUAUUGGCUUCAGGCUCUGAUGAUGCCAAAGUGAAGCUGUGGUCUACCAACCUGGACAACUCAGUAGCAAGCAUCGAGGCCAAGGCUAACGUGUGUUGUGUCAAAUUUAGCCCCUCUUCUAGGUAUCACCUAGCUUUUGGCUGUGCAGAUCACUGUGUUCACUACUACGAUCUUCGCAACACUAAACAGCCAAUCAUGGUGUUUAAAGGGCAUCGCAAGGCAGUCUCCUACGCAAAAUUUGUGAGCGGGGAAGAAAUUGUCUCUGCGUCAACAGACAGUCAGCUGAAGCUGUGGAACGUAGGGAAGCCUCACUGCUUGCGCUCCUUCAAGGGUCACAUCAACGAGAAGAAUUUCGUAGGGCUUGCGUCCAACGGAGACUACAUCGCCUGUGGAAGUGAAAAUAAUUCCCUUUACCUAUACUAUAAGGGCCUCUCAAAGACACUGCUGACAUUCAAGUUUGAUACAGUCAAAAGUGUCCUGGACAAGGACCGGAAAGAAGACGACACAAAUGAGUUUGUGAGUGCUGUGUGCUGGAGGGCACUACCAGAUGGGUUUCUAGGUUGGUCAGUUGAGACCUCGUUGCCUUUUUCUUCCAAGACAGACCUUCUCCAAAGCAGACUGCUCUAGCCAAGUUUCUUCUGACCACCAAAUAACGGAGUCCAACGUGCUGAUUGCUGCUAACAGUCAGGGUACAAUUAAGGUACUGGAGCUGGUAUGAAGGGUUUUCUCUCAAGGCAUGAGGUACUUGGUCCAGCUGGUAUGCUACAGUAUUCAUCUGGGAUCCUCAGCGGGACAAGAAACCGAAACCACCUUGAUGUUCCUCCUCAAAACCAUCAUGUUUGGGUUUUCCAUUUAUGGACUUUCUAGGACGUUUUGAGACACUGGAAAUGCCAGUGAACUGUCUGCCAUCAACAUUAACUCCACAGACUUUGCUGCUGCUGGUGGUGGUAUGGUUGUCUAAUUUUUAUGAUAGGAAAACAAAUUCUUUUAAAUAAAAACAAAAAGGAAUAAUAAAAUUUAUUGAGCCACAAGCUGAAGCUGGAAGAUUCUCUCUUGUUGCAUAUGGGAACAGAUUUACUUGGGAAGGGAGCUUACAGGACCACACAGGGCUGUCCUCAGUUGCACAUCUCCCGUUACUUUCAUCUGGACUGUUCCUUCAUCCCCAUUGGAAAAAGAAAGUCUCUAAGUCUUACCUGGACAUGCAAGCAAUCUGCUUUGAGAUCCCAUAAUGAUAUGGUUCAGUUGUUCCUUUGAUUUAUUUUUAUUUGUUUAGAUGCAUUAAAAAUGUUGACAAGUGUCACCCAGGUUGACACCUCUGGAGACUGAAGUCCUCUGGUUCUCAAGAAGAGAAGGGCAGCUUCCCCUUCCCCCUCUCCUUAUGCCCCUGCCUCACCCCAAAGGGGCAGCUCCAAAGGAGAGGAGUAAGUUGUCCUUCCAUCCACGCCAGCCUGGGCUUCUCUGCUGCCUGCCACCGGCACCGUGUCGUUGCCUGGGAUCCGGACUGACCUCACCAAGACGUCAUGGGAUAACGAUCCCCCCCUCACGCACACACGCACGCUGCCCUGGCUGCGUUUGACUAUCUCGGCUAGAGGAGGAAGCUUCUAGAUCCAGUUACCAAAGCCCUGCACCGCUGAAUCGCCCGUGUGGUCUGGUUGCAUUUGUCCCUCCCUGCGCACCACGGAAGCCGAGCGUUUCGAAUGUUGUAACAAGAGAGGGGAUGGAGUUGGUUUGUAAUGUGUUUCAGAGCCAUGAUAUAAGUAGCCUUAUUUUUAAUGGUCAUGCAUACACUUAAUUGUACAUACGGAGGGGGAAUAAACCAUGAUGCUGAGA